AAAAAAGGAGGGUAGGUUAAGCAUGCAAUAAACGCCUGUGAGAGGAGAGUAGAGUGAGAAGAAAGAAGGAAGUUGACAAGUGGGGAAUGGGUUUGGGACUUCACGGGAUUUAGCAGAGUAGAAAGGGAAGGUGAGGGAUCAUGAUUCAUGAGAUAUGAAAUUAAUGGUUUCUGACAAGUAUUACAAAAAUGGGUUUGAUUUUGAUUUCCAGCUGUUGAGUUAAAGAUUUUCCAUACUAAUAUUACUGUAAAACUAAAGGUCAAAAUCCAAGA
rnacentral:misc_RNA from 1 species